UGGAGCUUAGGUGGUAAAGCUGGCUGUCUCGCCACUCACCUCCUGCUAUGCAGCCUGGUUCCUAGCAGGCUACUUACAAGUCCACACCCCUAUUAUAAAGUAUAAUUGAGCAGCAACAUCAUGGAAUCAUGGAACAAUACUUGACUUUCUAGGGGGAAGUGUGAAGGAGUGAAGAGGACAGACAGGGUCUUGCUGGAGUGCAGUCCCAGGCUGAAGAGAACCUCUCACCUCAGCUCCCAGAAUUGCUAGGACUACAGCGUCCACUGAACUCUCUGCAUUCACUGGAAAGGAGAUAUUUU
rnacentral:lncRNA from 10 species